rnacentral:rRNA from 1 species
AAAUUUAGAUUAAUUAAUAAAAUAAAUAAAUAUUUUAUUUAAAAUAUUAUUUAAUUAAUAUUAUUAAUUUUAGUAUAAAUAUAAAAAAAAAUAUGAGAGUUAUAAAAAUUAUUAUUGUAAAAGAAUAUUCAAAUAAUUUAAAUAAUAUAAUUAUUUAAAAUAAAAAUUUUUUUGUAUUUUGUGUAUCAAAGUUAAUUAAAUAUAUUUUAUUAAAAAAAGAUUCUCUAAAUUAAUAGAGUUAAAUUAUUUUUUGAAUUUAAUGUGAAAAAAUUAUUUUAAAUAAUAAUUUAGAAGUUAAAAGUUAUUCGUGAUUAAUAUAUAUAGUUUUUAUUGAAAUAAAUUUAAUUUAGUUAAAUUUUUAUUAUUAUUAUUAUUGAAUAAAAUUUAUAUUAGUAGGGGAAAAUUUAUAAAUUUUUAAGGGGAUAAGCUUUUAAAAAUAAUAAUUAUAUGGUUAUGGUUUUAAUUUAAUUUUAUUAGGAUUAAAAAUUUCUUUAUUUUAUAUUAAUUUUAUUUAUAUUUAUUAUUUAUAUUUAUUACAUUAAGAUUUUAAAUAAAUAAUUUAUUUAAUAGUAUUUUAAUUGAAAUUAUGAUUAAAUUAGUAUAAGUAUAAUAAAUGUUAUUAUAAAAAAAUUAAUUAAUAAUUAAAGAAUUUGACAAAUUAAUUAAAUUUAAAUGUUUAAUAAAAACAUUGUUUAUUGAAAUAUUAAUUUUAAAUAAAAUCUGCCCACUGAAAUUUUUUAAAGGGCUGCAUAAUUUAUUGUACUAAGGUAGCAUAAUCAAUAGUAUUUUAAUUGGGUUCUAGAAUGAAUGAUUUAAUAAAAUUUAUUUUGUUUCAAUUAUUAGGUUAUAAUUUUAAUUUUUAGUAAAAAUGCUAAAAUAUUAUAAAAAGACGAGAAGACCCUAUAAAUCUUGAUUAUUUUUUUAAUAAUUUUUAUUUAUUAUUAAAAUUUUAUAAAAAUAAUUUUAUUGGGGUGAUAAAAAAAUUUAAUAAACUUUUUUUUAUUUAACAAUUAUAAUUGAUUAAUUGAUCUAGAAUUUUUAAUUAUGAGAAUAGUUACUUUAGGGAUAACAGCGUAAUUUUAAAUUUAAGUUCAUAUUAAAUUUAGAGUUUGCGACCUCGAUGUUGGAUUAAGAUAUUCUUUCAAAAGGAAAGUUUUGAAUUGUUAGUCUGUUCGACUAUUAAAAUCUUACAUGAUCUGAGUUUAAAUCGGUGUGAGCCAGAUUGGUUUCUAUCUUUUUUUUAUGAAUUUAAUUUAGUACGAAAGGAAUUUUUAAAAAUUUUUUAAAAUUUAGUAAAUGAAUAUUAUUA